GGUGACCCGGGGUAGGCCUGGGGUUGUCACGGCUAGAAAAGGUUUGAUAAGGAUAGGUAUUGGGGCUAGGGAGCUACAUAUUUGAUUAGGGUUUGAUAGGACUGAUUGGUUUGGUUAGGUUAGGUUAGGCUUUAGGGUUUGAUAGGGCUGACUGGUUGGGUUGGGUUAGGUUAGGUUAGGUUAGGCUUUAGGGUUUGAUAGGGCUGACUGGUUGGGUUGGGUUAGGUUAGGUUAGGUUAGGCUUUAGGGUUUGAUAGGGCUGACUGGUUGGGUUAGGUUAGGUUAGGUUAGGUUAGGUUAGGUUAACAGCUUGGGUCAGUACAGGUGAGGGGUGACCCGGGGUAGGCCUGGGGUUGUUACGGCUAGAAAAGGUUUGAUGAGGGUAGGUAUAGGGGCUAGGGAGCUGAUUAGGGUUUGAUUAUGUUAGUUGUGAGGGGUUUUAAGUCUACUGAAGGGAGCGACCAGGGCUGGGCCAGGCAUCAUUAAGGAUAGGCAACAGUGCAUGGGAGUGGGUGGGGGCUGUUCUGCGGGGCUUAGAGGAAACAGUGAUGUGAGUCUGAGGGGCUGGUGGUCUGAGAGAAGGUUCUAUUCAUCAAGACCAGGGAUAGACCAGGGAUUGUUAGGGCUAGGCAACAGUGUAUGGGAGUGGGUGGGGGCUGUUCUGCGGGGCUUAGAGGAAACAGUGAUAUGAGUCUGAGGGGCUAGUGGUCUUGAGAGGAGGUCCAGGGCUUGUUAGGGCUAGGAAACAGCUUGUGUGGGAGUGGAUAGGGGCUGUGGGGUGGGUCUGAGGGGCUGGUGGUCUUGAGAGGAGGUCCAGGGCUUGUUAGGGCUAGGAAACAGCGUGUGUCGGAGUGGAUAGGGGCUGUGGGGUGGGUCUGAGGGGCUGGUGGUCUUGAGAGAAGGUCCAGGGCUUGUUUGGGCUAGGAAACAGCUUGUGUCGGAGUGGAUAGGGGCUGUGGGGUGGGUCUGAGGGGCUAGCGAUCUGUGAGAUAGCUCCGUUCAUCAAGACAUAACAAACAGUUCACCUAAGUAGCUACAGGACAGGAAUAGAAUCUCGACCAGUGAUAUUAGGAGCCAGCAUCACACCCAUUCAGUCCAUAAGACGACACUGUGACUAGGCUCAAUUACAGCCACUUGUCGCAUCAGGUAGGCCUAUGUAUAAGUUAACAGCAAGAACAGGUGUGGGGAACUAGUUAAUUAAGGCCGCCAGGUGUUAACGAGAGCCACACACACACACAGACUAUACAGGUAAGUGACUUGUUAUUAUUAUCAUUAUUAUUACCAUGAGAUGUACAUUGGGUUUGUGUAGUUCCGUAAAGCCUUGUUAUAGAAUUAGUUACGUGUCUGCCUGUCUGUCUGUCUGUCUGUCUAAGGGCUGUAAUAUCUGAGGGGGGGGUGCUAGGGGGGGGCUAAUCUACUGUAUUUGGGGGGGCGCUAGGUGGGGGGCUUUCUGUAUCAGCUUCAAAAAUCGCCUUAAAAAAUCGCUUAGUUCCCCCUAAAAUUUCCUCCAUGCUUGCUUUGCUCGGCGC